UGUCCUCUACCUAUACAGAAACGAAGACGACAACUAACAGAUUACAUCAAGAGACAGUUCCGACCAUAUUUUGCGUUCCAAAUCCACCAUCAUCAGUGUGAGUGAAAAGAAAGAAUCCUCUGCAGCCCUUUGGAUGGUGACAUCCAACAGGAAAAAAAAGACAACUCCAGCAGUAAUGGAAGUACCACAUCGAAGCCAACAAUUUUAAGAGGAUGAAUUAUUUGAACAUCAGAAUCUUAGCCGUCGGGAUGAAGCUUCAUUGCAAGUGUGGGCGACCUCUGAGGUAGGACGAUAUCGUACCUCCCUUUUGGUCGGCCGUUAAGCCUGCCCACUCGUCUAAGGAUAACAGGGUUUGGGUUUUAAAGCAUACAGGGUCAGGAUUAUUUGUAUCAGGUCGAGUGAAGGAGGUCAGAUAGGUCGUCGGUAAGGCGUCGGCGAUACACGAGCAAAAGUCACCAUUUAACAAUAAAACGAAAGUUUAUUAGAUAACAAAUAAUUAGAUACAAUGACCAACAUCGAGAUUCUAUCGACCUUGUAUACUAGCUCCCUAUUACUAGUUGAAAGGGACCGAGAGAGAGUUUACAUUAAUCAUUAUCGUACUCUGGAUGCUGGACGAGGUGGUGGUCUGGAGUUGAUAUGGUACAAGAAAUCAGUAUCAGAGGGUUGUUUGAUAUUAGAUGACCGUUUUCUUGACUGGCACGCACAGUUCUGCUCCUUCUCCCGCUCGACGACCACCCUCCUCCUCUCGAGUCCCCAUUUUUAUUUUCCAUAUCACGUUACUCUUUUACACCAAUCGUGAAUUUCAGCUAUCAGUUCCUAGUGACACAUUCAACGAGUUCCCUGGGAAAGGAAACAACUCCGGGGAGAGAGAUGCAAUCACCAUCCGGUCAUAAAAGUGGAGAAUUUUCGAAAGAUAGCCAAAAUGAAAUUGUUUUCCAAAAUUUUCGUUAGGCCCGACCCUCACACAAGACACAGUUUCCUUGUCCAGACCUUGUGUUUAUAGCCCUUGGUUACACCGACAUCAAAGACACA